rnacentral:rRNA from 1 species
AUGGUCAAACUCAGUAAUCCCAGAGUGAACAAUUUCUGUGGCAAUAUCCCAGAGUCCAUAGGUCAGCUCAGGAGGCUGGAGAAGCUCCAUUUGGGUAACAAUAACAUGUCUGGGGAGCUGCCAUCAACUCUGAGCAACUGCAAAAAUCUCAAAAACAUUGAUCUGAAGAUCAACAACUUCAGUGGAGAUCUAGGCAAGGUAAACUUCGCCACCCUGCAGAAUCUAAAAAGUUUAGAUCUCAUGAUGAAUAAUCUAAGUGGCAUACUUCCAGAAAGUAUUUACUCAUGCAGCAAUUUGACUGCACUGCGGUUGUCGGCCAACCGUUUCCAUGGUGAGAUCUCCCUUAGAAUAGGCAAUCUGAAGCACCUAUCCUUCCUAUCACUUGUUAGAAACUCCUUCACGAACAUCACAAAAACUUUGCAUGCUCUUAAGAACUGUAGGAACAUCAGCAUCCUGCUUAUCGGCAGAAACUUCAUGAAUGAGGCCAUGCCACAAGAUGAAGUCAUUGACGGCUUCCAGAACCUUCAAUAUCUCUCCGUGCACGACUGUUCGUUGACUGGAAAGACACCUGUCUGGUUAUCAAAGCUCACAAAGCUGAAAAGAUACUAG